UCUUAGGUUCUUACAAGCCUCUCCAUAACAAACAAUGGCUAGCAACAGCAAGGCUCUGAUCACAGUACUUUUCUUUCUCUUCUUGCUUUCAACUCAAUCCAUCCUACCUUCAACAGCGACAAAGAUUCUGGGGACAAGUCAAAAUGGGAGUGGUGACACAACAUCUGCGGCAGAAAAAGUGCAACCUGCCGAUGAUGACCCCGGUUAUACCGAAGAGGAUCACGGGGAGUAUGGUCGCUGAAUGGAGGAUGAUUCAUACUUCCGUCUUCCAAAGCUAGUUGAUUUUAAUGUAUGAAUAAAUUAAAAUCGCUUGUGCUACAAUUGUAAUAUAACGUUACUUUUAAUGUGCUAAAGACCUCUAAUUUUGAUCUUGA